UUAAUAAACGAGGAACGCGCAGCUGUGGCCGAGAUGGCACCACCUGCGAGCCUAAAGGUGGCGACGGCGGCGGCGGCGGCGGCGUAAUUGUCGCGCGUGACAACCACCUCGAUCCACGAUCGAAUCACGAUCGACGAUUCGUUCUGUGGUGUGUUCCGUGGACGUGGAUUGGGUUCUCAUUUUUCGAUCGGUUAGAGCGGAUCUUGGGGAGCGAAGUAAGCGUGGGAGUCGGCGAGUAAGUCUGAGAAUUGGAGAAAGAGAGAGGGAGAGAGAGAAAGAAAGAGAAAAUUGUUAGGUUAGUUGGAAGAUUUUCUAGGUGUUGCGAAUUUAGUAUUGUAAGAAAAACAUGAUUGUGAAAUAAAAAUGGAACGAAAACGAAGUCGAAGAUGAUUAUACAGAAUGAUUGACGACGAAAUUUGUAUACUGAACAAAAAGAAAUGUGUGGAAAAUUCUUUUUCAUUUCUAACAGAAGAAGGAAAUUUUUAUAGGUUAGACAUGGACAUUGAACGAGCUGAAGUUUUAAGAUUGGAAUUGAUUUGAUAGUUUUAGAUUAAAUGUCCAUAAUAAUUGGAACUCAAAUAUAGAUUCAAGGAAACAAUCCAUUUACAGAGGAUCAAAUCGAAGUGAAACUACUUUGUGAAUCGAACGAAUCAAAACACUUUUUCAUCGUCUCUUCUCGUCAUGACCAUCCCUUAAAAGUCUCAUCGAAGUAAUUGCUAAAAAAAAAGAGGAAUAAAAUAACGAUUCCGAGUCGACUUGAUCGUUUAUCGCACACAUACAGAGGAAUAAAGACAAAGAAUCGAACGAUUGUGGCCGAUGUUGUCGUUCAAGGUUCGUGAGAUGCUCGAUCGAUGCAGACCGGUACUAACAAAAGGUCGAGUUCGUAGUAUAUUCGCGAAAGAGAUAAAUUCUCCGCCUCGCGAAACAACCGGGGGAGAGAUCUAUUUACAUAAAACAACGCGGAUCCUUUCUCCCUUUAAAAGAAGACUUGAACGGACGGAGCUGUAAAUUAACUCAAGACAUUGUAUUUAAUUAAACAUGCGGGGAGCGAGAGGCGUUAAUUAAAACCGGCCUCCUCCAUUAUUUCCCGAAAAUUGCCCGAUCUUUAUUCGUGAAUUUAGAACGUAUCCUUUAACAAAUCCACGCCUAUCUAAAAACAAAUCCUUUUCACAAUAAUUUACAACUUGGCAAUGUUACCUGAUCAUGUCUAAAAACAUAGAAACUUGGUACUCAUAAUGUCAUCACUCGCUUCCGUUCAUUCCUGACGAAUCGAAGGACAAGCAAGAUAUUUGUUGAUAAAAAAUUAAAUUUCUUCAUUCUCGCAAAUAACCUGAAAUUGAACGUCACAUACAGCACGGACGAUAUAAAUAUAGCCUACCCAGAAGAAAUUCCAUAAGCGGGUCUAAUCGAUAGGCAAGCAGAUGAUCGUGGCCAGGCCGAGCGACACUCUUUAUUCUAUCAAUUAUUCCUAAUUAGCUAGGAGGCUAAGGUGACCAAGCGAAUUCUUCUCAAGCCCGUUCCUUCGCAAGGUCUCGAGGCCUUGCUUACGUGAAAUAAGUUAGCACCAAGACGCAAAACGAAUCGAGCCGUUUCCGUGCAAAGAAAAGGGACCACUUUCAUAUCUUCCCUCCCCUUACGAUUGUUUAUACGAAACUUGUUGACAUCAGAAAUGAGCAGGCAAGGAUUUAGAGGAACGAUAAAAAUCCCGUUGAGGUCUUUCUACCAGCUAAGAUCAGAAGAAAGAAAUUAAUACAGGAAUUCGAAAAAAGGAGAAUCCCCUAAGAUAUAUCCACUAAUGUCGAUCACGAACGGUUCCUCGUUUCCAUUUCUUUUUGUUUUUUUUUUUCCUUUCCCCCAAAAGCGCCAUGCUUGGUCGAUGAACCCUGGAUCGACGAUCUAAAAACGUAGCCGGGAGGUCUGUCUGUCGGGAGGACCUUCGACUAUUCCGGGAAUAUCUGAGGAGAAGUUGCGUUUCGUGAGGAAACUCGAUGGGCGCCUCUAAUUACCUGUGGUACCGUUAACGAAAGGGCCAUUUAUUUCGAAACGAAAUCGGCGAGAGGGGUAGCGGCGUUGCAAGUCACCGGUUUUGCAGCGGGGGGACGUGUCCGAGGAUUGAUGAGAUUACGCGCCACGUAAUGGAGUAAUUAGGAUGUUUCUUCGUUGGGUUAAUUGUGCUUUGUGUACCAGAGAUGAUUGGUAGCGAGCUUUGCAAAAUUUUGCCAAUUUUGAAAUCGAACGAAAGGAACAGAAGAUGAUUGCGAACAAAAAUUGCAACAGAACGCUGCUAUUCCUAGAUUAAAUUCCAGAGAGAAACCAAAUAUAAUAAAAUUCUGUUAACUGUUACUUUGCCUCGAGAGAGAGAGAAAAAGAAAUUAUACUUCUACAUUCCUUUCUCAAAUUCCUUCCCAUGAUCCUUUUCCUCCACUUUCUUCUCAUGAUCGAUAAAUCAUCCAGUUUCUUCCAGUUCCUCUCCGGCGAAAACAAAACGCGUUAUAACUGUACAAUAAAAAAAAGAAAAAGAAUUAACUUAGGCUGUCUUGCAACGAAUAACUAAUGUUCCCGUUUCCUUAAAUCCGCGAGCGGAAUGGUGUGCCGCCUCGCGCGUAACUCGCGCGACCGUGGAACCGUUACGGCCAGCUCGGGUUACGAAUUAAAAGCGAAUUAAACGGAACAUUAUUUGCCAGCAGGUUUCUCGGUUCUUGGUAUGAAAUUUCGACUCGAUCGACCAAGAAGACACGCCUUUUUUAUUAUAUUCCAGCCAAGAUUUAUAUCGUGGCGAAUUUAACGGGGGAGGGAGGGGGAGAAAGAGAGAGAGAAGCAAGAGUAACAAGUGCAAUUUAUCAGAAGACGAAGAUUUAGAGCAAACUUCUCCUCUUCCAUACUGAUGUGCCGAGGCGAUCGGUCAUUAAUGGCGGAACAGGUUCAGCGGAUUAAUUUCGGACGGGCCAACCAACCGCUUUGCUUUCGCUGGUUAUUUUCACGUUCCUGGAAGGUAAUUGCAACGUGUCUCGGCAUUCGUGUACCGGAAUUUUGAAGGAUGGCGCAGCAAGAGGUAUUUUGUUGUAUUUUUCAAUCUUGUUGUUUGAGGGGGGGAAAAAACAAAAUUUUUAAAUCACCGUGGUGCACCAUCGAGAAUUUUGAUCAAUUUCCGCGAAGUCAUUUCCUCUCCCAGAGAUAUAUUUUUCGUUUCGAAUUAUUCCUAUUAUUAAAUUAUUCCUGUUGCAAAAAAAGAAAAAAAUAGAAAGGCUAAAAACUUCGAUCUCGAGGAACGGAGGAACAGUUAGAAAACCCGAAAUUUAAUCUCUCUUUGCGAAUGCAAACAAGCACCGGCGAAUAUUUAAAGGCUAAUUAAAUUCACCGUGUUUUUAUUCGCCACGUCACGAAUUUAGAGCAUCCCCGUUGAGGAAUGACAUAAUUGGGCACAGGUGGAACAGGUUCCACUUUACGAAGAAAUUGUACGAUAUAUAUAUUUAUACACAGGUGAACAGGUUGUUGCUUUCGUUACGAGAUAAUUGGCGCACGCGACUUCGGCAUUAUACGCGCGUUUUACAAGAACGCGAAUGUACAGAGCGUUUAAAAAAGAUACGCUUUUCGUUCCCACCACGUGAUUAUUCCCUGAGAAUUCGACGAGUCAACAGUUAUCGUGGCACGAAUAAAAGACCGAAAGGCUCGAUUAAAAAGGCGUUCCAAUUAUGUGCGGGUAUGCAAAUGAAACAAAUGCCUACUGGUGAAGUUUACUCGCGAAAAAUUAUUGCAACGCACACAUAUAUAUAUAAUAUGACAUACGAACAAAGUUUAUACAAAUUUGUGGCAUCGUGCAGGCGAAUAACAUCGAUAUGUGUUACGGAAAUCAUCGUAUUUGAAGAGCGUGGAAUGUCUAAGCCACGUGUCCGAGGUAUUUUUGGUAUAAUGGGACACGGAGUCGAGCCACGAGGAUUCCCAUGGCCUAUUCAAAGCCCGUUUGAUUGACGUUUACUAAGGAUCUGGGUCUUCUCAAAAGAAACUAUAUUUUAGAGGAACGUUAGGCGUGAGACUUUGGAAAAGAAUUACUAGAGUCUCUCUUUACGUAAUAAAAAAAUUCUCUUAAGACCCUUGCUCUCAAAUUUUUCUUCAUCUUAAUAAAUUCCUAUGUAUUCUCACCUUCAAUUCACUCAGAAUUCCAACUUAUAUCACCGAACGAUAUAUCAAUUAUCCAAAAAUCCUAAGAUUCUUAAUCGAAUUAUUUUCUCCUGGAUAAAAAAUCCCCAACCGAUAUUCCGAAUUGUCACGAUAUAAAAUUAUCAUCCACUUGUCGAGGAAUCCUCCUUAAAAAAAAAAAAAGAAGAGUUCGAAAAAGGUAUACACGUUCGUACUUGCGCACAACGUUUCCAGAAAAGAGGAACGAACAGCGAUACAACAACGGGCCAAGAAGAAUCCAAUCGAACUACCGAUACCGUGCAUCCACGCAUUCGGAUAUCAAAACGGUUCUGUCCCUUUCUUUAUUUCGCCGCCGCGGUUGCCACCUUUUCCUUUAUCGUAUUCACGUCUCGGCUAACUUUACAUCCCGGUAUUCUUCGAAACCGUGCCACGAUAACACGUCCCUCUUUUUCCUCGGUUAGGAAGGGGAAAAUAUUCGGCGAGAUAUCGGAGAAAUUUAUUUCGCCUCGGUUGUUGCGCGAAAAAUACCCGAGAAGAGUUUCGGAUCGAGAUAAUGACGACGGCAAAACCAAUUUCGAUGAAUAUAUAUAUGUAUAUGUAUACAUGCAUACGCGUUCUUCGAGAAUGGAUUCGUCGUACGUUCGGCUCGAAAAUGGAAAGGGAACUUUGAUGCGGUGCGAAGAAUUAAAAGCGUGUGUACAGAGAACAGACGGAACGAGGGGGGAGGGGGACGUAUAUUAAGGUUGAAGGGCUGUUCUCGAGAGGAGGGGGAAGGAUAUUACGGUGGAAGCAGCGCGGAUAAUUACGACGAGCCUCCGUUGGAUGGAAGACGGAUGCGUAUUAAAUGAUAUUUCUUUUUUUCGCUGCAAUUUGGAGCUUUGGGUUCGGAUCACAAGGCCGUAAAUAAAUUUAAUGCGAGCUUUAAAGGGGGAGGGGUGUCGUAACGUGUUAUUGGCGCGAUGUGAUUGGACUUUGCUCUUACGAAGAAGAGUGUAAAAUCUUUCCAAUGAAAAUUUAUAAGAAUGUGUGUUGAAUAGAUUCUUUUUUUUUUACAUGAAAAAUAUUUGUUUUUUCUAGCGAUAUUUAAUUAGACGAAGAUCGAUAUCUUUCAAACGGAACAAACAAGGAUAAGUUUUAACAGGAACAGGAAAUAAUCAGCAAAAGUUCUACAAACAAUCCGACAUGUAUCUACUAAUUAAUUAUUCAUCGUGUUAAAUUUUCGCACGAAUCGCGAAACAAAUGGAAAGGUAUAUUAAGUAUACGCAUUAUUCGAGAUACAGGAUACUCAUUGAACAGAUAAGAUCAACUCGUGUAUCAUACUACAUUAAAUUUUAAAAAACUAAGAAAUUUAAAAUUAA